UAAGAGUAGGGAGGCAGAGACAGGUGAAUCUCUGAGUUCAAGGCCAUUCUGGUCUUCAGUGUGAGUUUAAGGAGCAACCUAGCCUAACUCUAAAUGUUUUCCAUAGAACAGAUCCAAGGGAGCAUGUCCCAGGCUGCCUGAGACAUGCUCAGUCUGCAUGCUGCUCUUUCAUAUGUUAUUAUGACUCAACAACUUAGACGAGAGUCCUGAAGGAUUUACGAUUGCCUUUGGUGUUUAUAUCUUUUAAUUUGGCUAUCAUAAAACUUCAAUAUAAUUUUUGAAUAAUAUAAGUUGAAAGGGUCUUUUAAAAGAAAUAAGGUGUUGAAGCCACUCAUUAAAGAUAAUUAGACAUCAUGUUUUUGCAUACGUGUGUAUAUUCAUAUCUGGACAUGCACAUAUGUGCAUGGGUGUACACGUGUGAUUGGUGCCAUCAUCAAACGCUCAGCACUUUAUGUACCAAGGCAGGCCUCUCACUUGCACACAUAGCUCAUCAACUUUGCAAAUCAGGGUGGCUAACUUGAUCCAUGUUUCCCAUGUCUUUGCUUCCAGAGUGUUGGGAUCACAGGCAGGACACUAAGACUGUGGGACUUUCAAGUAGAUGCUAAGAAUCUAAACCAUGUUCUCACAUUACCCACUGAGUCAUUUUUCUAGACCUAUAUCAUUGUUAGUACUUACACUGGCUAGUGUUUUGUCAACUUGACCCAAUAUGGAGUAUUUGGGAAGAGAGACUCUCAAUUGAGAAAAUGGACCUAUAAGGUCUGCCUAUAAGCAAGUCUGUAGUGUCUUUUUAAUAAUUCAUGAUUGGGCACAGGGGAUGGUGCCCCAACUGGUCUGGUAGUCCUGGAAGGCAUAAGGUAGCAGGCUGAGCAAAUCAAAGGGAGCAAGCCAGUAAGCAGCAUUCUUUGUAGACUCUGCUUCCAUUCCUGCCUUGAGUUCCUGCCCUGACUUCCGUCAGCAAGAAACAAUUACCUCAGAGUUGGAAGCUGAAAUAAACCCUUUCCUUUCUAAGUUGUUUGGGGUCAUGGUGUUCUAUCACAGCCAUAGAAACAUUAAAUAAGACAGCAGUAAUAUUGUUUCUGAGUCCUGCCAAGAAUUUCUCACCAGCUGGUUCUCAGAUUGCUCUUUUGCUUGGCUUUUUAGUGUAACUCCCAGAUGAUCCUGUUAACCUCAUGUUGCUCACAUCUGCCUCACAGCCAACUGCCUGCUGUGUGCUCCAUCUUCCCAUGGGCCGUACAUCAUGAGAUGCUGUAGUGGCUUCUAUUUCUCCAGCAUUUGAUUUCACCUCGCUCAUUUCCCAUUGUCUCUCUUUGUAUUUUAGAGACUGCCUCCAUCCGACGAAGCUUAUUUUUAAGUCUUUCUUGUCAGCCAAAGUGGUUUGACAUAUGGAAAUUCUACUGGAGUCUUGAACUCAUUUAACCUAUCAGGUUCUUCAUUUCAUUAAAGAUCAUAGUCAUCGCUGAAAUAAAAUUGAGCAGAAGUCUUUAGAGAAAUGAGUGAACGGUACCAGCCAAUCAUCAUGGUAGGAGUUGAACUGUGCAUUUCAUCUUUGAACACUGUUCUCUCUUCAUGGCAGGGCAGAUGGGAAGGGAAGAGAGGGCAUGUAGAUGCUGGUUGUUCCUGAAGGAAAAAUCCCUUUCUUUUCUCUCCUCCUCUAGGGGAUGGAUGAGUAAGGAGUAAUGUUCUUUUGAUGUAUCCAGUUUCAUAUUUCCUGUUGAGCUCUGGCCACCUGGCUUAGCUUUUUUGCUCUUAUUAAUGUGACUGCUAAUAAUUUUGCUUUAUUAUCUUUUACUUUACAGAGAAUUGUUCUUAUUCGAUGCUUAUGGUUCUACUCAGAAUAAGGUGUUGUUAUUCUUUUUUUUUUUUUGACACCCAGAAGUUUGUUUCAAAGGGUUAAAAGGACAUUUAUAAAACCACCUUGCAUGUGUAUCCUAAAAGUAUGGGAGGACUCCAGUUGUUCUGACUACCAAACCUUGCUUUUUCCAGCUGUGGUUGCUGCUGGGCCUGGGGCAUUUCCAUGUAUUGAGCACUUGAUACACACAGAAGCCUUUAUGUUAAUAAAUGCUUUUCAAUCAUCCCAACAACCCGAAGAAGGUAAACAGUAUCGUGAAUUCAGCCAGAAAAUGAAGCCUCAUAAGGAUUUAACUACCUGAGAUUGUAGCUGGUUUCAGGUCAUGAAUUGAAUGAUUUUUUUUUUUUUCUUCUUUUCUAGAUUAUGAAGUCUGCUCUAAAAAGUGGGUUUGGGUUUAUAUUGCCCAUUCUCAGAACCCUGUGAACGUUCAACUGCCAGGCAAAAUCUCUGCACGAUUCCAACACUGAGUUCCUUUAGACUAAAAUGUAGGGGGAAACAUGAGAGGGAAAUACAUAAAUGACAAACAUCUGUCAAUGUGCUCACUCCCUGGUCCAUUCUCAUUGUGUGUCACAUGGCACAAAGUGGGUUUCUGUCUUGUCUUACAUUUAAAACGAGGUCAGGCAGAGUGGAAAACACAUUUAAGGUAAUGAUACAUGUAGACAUGCACUAUUACAUGUAUGUCCUGUAGGCUCUAUAGCAUCACAGGUGACUCUCAGGUCAUGUGGACUGAGUGAUAUGAUGUGCCAGUAUAGGUGCAUUGACUGUAAUGAGGUACUGUUGCAGGUUAAGGGGGCUCAUUAUAGCAGUGGAUGCUGGGCAUGUGUGGGAAAGGAGGUAUACUGAGUCUCUAUACCUUUUGCUCAAUGUUGCUGAGAGCCUCAAACUUCUAUUAGAGUGAAAAAAUGAUGUCCAUCUAAAAACAAAACCUCAGGAUUAUUGAAUCUAUUUGAAAUCACCCGGUUUUAUACCCAGUUUGGCAUUCAUAUUCAUGUUCUGAUCGUCUAGUCACAAAACAAACAAGACAGAAUAAGAAUAAGAAUAAGAAUAAGAAUAAGAAUAAGAAUAAGAAUAAGAAUAAGAAUAAGAAUAAGAAUAAGAAUAAGAAUGAGAAUAAGAAUAAGAAGGCUUUGUGAAGCCAGUCAUACUUUCUGUUCCUCCUUUCCCUGUGAAGGCCUGAAGGAGCAUUGGCAGAUGAGAAUAGCCCACCAGCCUAAGCAAACGUGGAGUUUCAUCUCUCUCCUGGCUUCUUUGGGGCACCUACAUUGCCCUUCUACACAAUGCUGGUUUUCAGUGUAAUAGCUUCCGGGAGCCACACAGGUCACUCCCUGAACAGUGCCAAGGAACCUCCUUUUUCUCCAUUAUAACACCUUAUAUUUCUCAACAUUUAUCCAUGGAACAAGCUUUCUGAAGGUAGGCUAAUGGCAAUGUGUCUCAGUACAGCUCCUUGCUGUGAUGUUUAUUGAUUCAGGGGAAUCUUUAAGGACAUAUCCAUAAUGGUAACCUAUGGGGAUUUCUUUUUUCUGCCUCCCACUCCUCAAAUCGGCUAUCCUCCAGGUAACAACUAUUCCUAUUCAAUGCAGAUCAACAGCCCCAUUGCUUGAGUAGGUACCAUCUAUCAACCAGACUCUUGGCUUUUGUGAAUGAAAGUCUCCAUCCUUUGUGAGGAGUUGCUUUGCAUCUUAGCAGCCAAGUUUAAGGUAAAGGCAUCACAGAAAAGCCCAUUACUCUGUAAGCGUCGAGCAUUUGAUCUGGUGCUAGCCUUUUGUGCUGUGUUCUAUGAAGGAAGAGAAUAUGCUGCCUGCAUUUAUGUAUUUAUGCCUCAGGAUUUAAAAAAAAAAUCGAACAUAAUCAAAAUCCCACUGGGAAGAAGUAUGUCAAAAAGAUUAAUUAAGAAGAAAGUUAAACUGGAGGCUCCCUGCCUUUGUGGUUAAUGAUCACAGAAAACCAAGAUGGAAAACAAAAUCCUGAGAUGGAAUGAGGGAAAAAAAUGCCUUUAUAUUGUUUGGGUUGUGAAUUUUAUUAAAAUCAGAGUGAGUUUGUACCAGUAUUUAAGUUAUGUUUAC
rnacentral:lncRNA from 1 species